GUAAUCGGAUUCACAUCAAUCCAUAUGUGUUGGGGUGGAUUGGAGUGGAACUUAAAAUAAAUUUCACCUCAAUCCACUUCAACACAUGUCGAUUGAGGUGAAUCCGACA
rfam:Sorghum bicolor cultivar BTx623 chromosome 3, whole genome shotgun sequence.